rnacentral:rRNA from 1 species
GAUGAACGCUGGCGGCGUGCCUAAUACAUGCAAGUCGAGCGAACAGACGAGGAGCUUGCUCCUCUGACGUUAGCGGCGGACGGGUGAGUAACACGUGGAUAACCUACCUAUAAGACUGGGAUAACUUCGGGAAACCGGAGCUAAUACCGGAUAAUAUAUUGAACCGCAUGGUUCAAUAGUGAAAGACGGUUUUGCUGUCACUUAUAGAUGGAUCCGCGCCGCAUUAGCUAGUUGGUAAGGUAACGGCUUACCAAGGCGACGAUGCGUAGCCGACCUGAGAGGGUGAUCGGCCACACUGGAACUGAGACACGGUCCAGACUCCUACGGGAGGCAGCAGUAGGGAAUCUUCCGCAGUGGGCGAAAGCCUGACGGAGUAACGCCGCGUGAGUGAUGAAGGUCUUCGGAUCGUAAAACUCUGUUAUUAGGGAAGAACAAAUGUGUAAGUAACUAUGCACGUCUUGACGGUACCUAAUCAGAAAGCCACGGCUAACUACGU